CGGGUGAGUAACGCGUGGGUAACCUGCCUCAUACAGGGGAUAACAGUUAGAAAUGACUGCUAAUAUCGCAUAAGACCACAGCACCGCAUGGUGCAGGGGUAAAAACUCCGGUGGUAUGAGAUGGACCCGCGUCUGAUUAGCUAGUUGGCGAGGUAACGGCCCACCAAGGCGACGAUCAGUAGCCGACCUGAGAGGGUGAUCGGCCACAUUGGGACUGAGACACGGCCCAA
rnacentral:rRNA from 1 species